GAUGAACGCUAGCUACAGGCUUAACACAUGCAAGUCGAGGGACCGGCGCACGGGUGAGUAACACGUAUCCAACCUGCCCUUUACUCGGGGAUAGCCUUUCGAAAGUAAGAUUAAUACCCGAUAUAAAGGAUGGGGAUGCGUUACAUUAGGUUGUUGGUGAGGUAACGGUUAACCAAGCCUUCGAUGGAUAGGGGUUCUGAGAGGAAGGUCCCCAACAUUGGAACUGGGCCACGGUCCAAACGCCGACGGGAGGCAGCAGUGAGGAAGAUGGGUCAAUGGGCGCUAGCCUGAACCAGCCAAGUAGAGUGAAGAAUAAAGGCUUAUGGAUGGUAAACAUCUUUUAUAUAAGAAUUUGUAUUAUAUGAAUAAGGAUCGGCUAACUCCGUGCCAGCAGCCGCGGUAAUUG
rnacentral:rRNA from 1 species